GACGGAGGAUGCAAGCGUUAUCCGGAAUUAUUGGGCGUAAAGCGUCCGCAGGUGGACAUACAAGUCUGCUGUCAAAGUGCAGAGCUUAACUCUGUAAAGGCGGUGGAAACUGUAGGUCUUGAGUAUGGUAGGGGUAGAGGGAAUUCCCGGUGUAGCGGUGAAAUGCGUAGAUAUCGGGAAGAACACCAGUGGCGAAGGCGCUCUACUGGGCCAUAACUGACACUGAGGGACGAAAGCUAGGGGAGCGAAAGGG
rnacentral:rRNA from 1 species